rnacentral:lncRNA from 1 species
AGCAAGCAGACAGGUGACACGCUCGGGCCAGGACGGCAGUUACUGGUCCGUCAGAACGAUGGGAGAGGGACGGCUUUGGUGAGAUGCUGGAGACCCUUGGGCAGCCUGUGGUCACAGGGGGAUGCUGCGCGGUUUAUUCCUUCUCUUACUAAAGCCAGACACACACGACAAUGAGACCAGACCACGGCACACUCCUGGCUGCUCUCCCCUUGAGAACUCAGCUGGAAGGAAGAACUGCCAAUGCUCUACAGGACAGCAGGACACACUGACAGUGAUGGAAUGAAGCCAUGGCACACUCCUGGCCUCUCUCCUGUUGAGAAGUCAGCUGGAAAAGGUGUCAAUGCUCUCCAGGACAGGUAAGAUAGUACCAACCCACACCCCACCAUGGUCUCAUAGCAAGCAGGACAGUGACACGCUCAGGCCAGGACAGCAGUGACCGCUCCAUCAGGACGACGGGACACGGACAGCCUCGCCAGAAACACACAGUGAUGGGACCAGACCACGGCACAAUCCUGGCCUCACUUCUCUUGACCACUCAGCUGGAAGGAAGAGCUGCCAACGCUCUACAGGACAGCCAGACACACAUGACAAUGAGACCAGAUCAUGGCACACUCCUGGCUGCUCUCCCCUUGAGAACUCAGCUGGAAGGAAGAACUGCCAACGCUCUACAGGACAGAUAAGACAGCCCCAACCCAUUCCCCACCAUGGUCUCACACCAUACCAGAAGAUGACACGGUUGGGUUAUGAUGGGCAUCUCCUGGCCACCAGGGAGACCUCAGAGCAGAGCAAGCCACUGAAGGAGAAGAAAGCACACAAGGACCCCGCCUCUACCCUGCCAUGGUCCUACAAGCAGACCAACGGGCUCCGCGCCUUUGGACAUUGAGAGCUCGGCACGCCUCUCCGCCAACUCACCCCACCCCACGUCUCUCUCAAACGUUGCUUAAAUAAAGGUUCUGAUUCACAACCUCA